CUGGCUUCAACAAUGAGUACAUUUAUUGGCCCACAUGCUUGGCAGCGUGUAUCAGAAUUCAUUGAUCCAGCAGUUUAGUAAUAUGAUCAAGGAUCCAGGUUUUAUUUUGUCUUUCUGUGCUAACAACAUUGUUGGCUUCAUCUUGUAGGUAAGUUGUCCAGUAGUCGAAAAUAGGCUACAUGUUCUCUCAGUCAUACCUUAUUCAAAUUUUACCAGUUGUCCCACUAAUGUUCUUUUUCUUGUACAGGAUUCAUUUAGUUGCCAUGUCUUCUUAGCCUCAUGUAAUCUGGAACUGUUCCUCAAUCUUUUUUUGUCUUUCAUGACCUUGAAACUUUCAGUGAGUCCCUCAAUUUGUUUUGUCUGAUGUUUUCUCAUGAUUAAUUCAGGGUAUUCAUUUUUGGCAAGGAUGCCAUGGAAGGGAUCUCGC
rnacentral:lncRNA from 10 species